rnacentral:lncRNA from 1 species
UCCCUCUCGCUGACAGGUGGAUGUGGAGUUGGGAGCCAGCCACCAGGCCUCCUCCUCUCGCUCAUCCCACCGGCCGUCCACCCUGUUCGUUCCCAAAUUCCCAAACCUAGUUGGAGUAGAAGCCAGCCAGUCCAGCUGCAAGGCGGCGCAGCAGCCGACCUCCAUCCUCCUCUUCGAUCCGCCGCAGGCCGACGCUUCUAGCGUGGUGGGAGUGGAGAUCCGUCCAUCCGGUCCGCCGCCUUCCCCCUUGUUGGCUGGUGAGUAAUUCAUCGAUCCCAACUUGUUUUCUUCACUCGAAGGAUUCCAUUGUUUGUUCCAGGAAUCGCUUGGUCUUGAGAGUUCUCAUUCAGAUCCAAAUCGCUCCCUCCCCAUUUCAGUUUGCUGUGGAUUCAAAAAUCAUCCAUUUAGGGUUUCGUUCGAUUAAGUGGUUCGUCUUGUGCUCCUGCUGCGCUCGAGAAUGACAAUCAGCAGAUGCCGGCGGAACUUAUUUCCCUGAAAAAAGAGAGAUGAUUUUUGGUGUUCCUUUAAUUGAGCCCCCAUGCGCGCGGCUAUUGUUGGCUAAAACUGCGUUAUUUUAGCGCACGAGUAGAUUUUUUUUGGACUACAUGACUACAUGUCGGCACUAAAUUUAGAUGACGCCAUAAAAAAAUUGAUACUUUCCCCUCGAUGUCUGUUCAACGUAGCUGUUCGAGUUCCCUUUCCCCCUCGGACAGGAGAUCUGUGUUUUCUAGAUGUCGCAACAGCAUUAUGUUCUAUGGCUCAUUCAUUUGGUUUCGAGAGAAGUAGUAUACAACCUUGAAGCUAGCGGCAUCUGUUCAAUGACCUGACGUUUCUUGGUCCGUUUUUUUUUUCAAAUAGGUACACAGAUUGAACUAUGGACAACCUGUGGCAUCUUGGAGAUGAGCUCCGUGGCCAGCCAAAGGUAGUGGAGGACCGCCAGUGGUCUCUCAUGACCUCCAAGCUCGCUGAGAUCACCAAGUCCAAGGGCGAGAGGAUGAACGACCUUGACUAUGCGCGGAUGAACACCGUCCCUGAGGUCAAGCAGUGGGAUAAGAUGCAGUAUCACCAUGAUGAACCCAGGAUGGAUCACAUCAAUCUUGGCCUCAUGAACCUGGAUCUGAAGAUGAAUGAUCUGAAGAUGAACGAGGCUGCCCUCAAGAACCCUUUCCGCAACAUGGGUUAUAACAUGAACCCAAUGUACCCCAAGGGGAACAAUGCCAAUGUCAAUGCAUUCAAGAUGAAUGUUGGGGUCAACAAGUACUCCAAUAGUCCUAAUGUGAAAGAGGCCAUUGGAAAAAACAAUGGUGCCAACAACAAUGGAAGCAACAGCAAUGGAAACGCUAACAACAAUUCUGCUGUUGACAAGCGCUUCAAGACACUGCCAACGAGUGAGAUGCUACCAAGGAAUGAAGUCCUUGGUGGGUACAUCUUUGUCUGCAACAAUGAUACCAUGCAGGAGGAUCUCAAGAGGCAGCUUUUUGGUAUGCGUUACCACUUCUCCUGAUAAAUAACAUGAAAUAUUGUUCUGAAAAAUAACUUUCAUACCAUUUUUAAACUUUCUUUUGAUAAUAGCAUCUCAAGAUCUGUUGCUCUUCUGCAGGGUUGCCAGCAAGAUAUCGGGAUUCAGUCCGAGCAAUUACUCCUGGACUGCCUCUUUUCCUCUAUAACUACACAACUCACCAGCUUCAUGGAGUAUUUGAGGUUUGUGAUUAGCUGAUUUGCUGCUCCUUGGAUAGCCUCUCUGACCUUGUUAAACAGUUGUUUGUUUGUAAUACAUAAGAUAUUGCUAGCUAAUAAAUUGUGCAUCUUACUUUAAAAAAAAAAAGUAAAUUGCGCAUCUAACUAUCCAAGAAAUGGUCUUGUGCUUUCAUGCACUAUUACCAUUCUAGAUGGAAUAUUUUUAGCUUGCCUUCAUCUUUCUCCUUUUCCUUGUGCCCUUGUAUGUAAUUUCUUCUAACUAAUGAUUUGGUAGCAUUUAAAAAUAAACAUUAAACUAGAAAGUAUGAUCAUGGUUUUCCAGAUACUAUAGUAUAUGCAACCAAGCCUACACCAAUGUUUUAAAUCUCCCACUAUAGCUGCUGCUAUAGCCCGCUAUAGUUAUUUAAGGCAUGGUACCACUAUUUACUCUCAUGUACAAUUUAACCGCUAUAUCCCACUAUAGCCCCAUUUAGUUCCACUAUUAGCUGUUUUAGAGUCCUCCGCUAAACCUCUUAGCCCGCUAUUUAAAACAUUGGCCUAUACACAUUUUAGGUACAUGACAGCACAUCCAAGAAUUGCACUCUUGUAAGGCAGCUUUAGCUAGUAUUUCAUCCGGUGUUAGUUCCUACUUCCUACUGGUUUUGUAUGUGCUAUUUCACCAUCUCUGAUUCGGGUUAUUUUUUCAUGCCUAGUCUUGUAUGGUUUUGCACACUGUUGACGUAUUGUUACCAUUAUUUAGCAUUGCUUUAUAGUUGGAUCUAACUGUGCUUCUGUAUACAUCUAGCUCCAUAGUUUUUGUUAUUGACCCAUUUCUGUUAGCUCACUGAAUCAUCAUUGUUGUCAGUUUCAAUAAAUGAAUGCCUACUUCGAUUCCAUACAUUUUUAUUGUUAUUGAAGUUUUAAUCCCAUCUUAUGCUUCAGAAUAAAUCUAGCGGCUAAUUGUCUUUUGGUUUUGAAAUGAAUUUGCUUAGGCUGCCAGUUUUGGUGGGUCUAAUAUUGAUCCCACUGCAUGGGAGGAUAAGAAGUGUAAAGGUGAAUCCAGAUUCCCAGCACAGGUACUGGCAACAUUUUGCAUAUGUUUGUUUCUCAUUUCCUUCUGAUUUCAUGAUCUGACAUCUUCAUCGUGUUAGGUGAGGAUCCGCAUUAGGAAGCUUUGCAAGCCAUUGGAAGAGGAUUCCUUCAGGCCAGUUUUGCACCACUACGAUGGCCCAAAAUUUCGCCUUGAGCUCUCCAUCGCGGAGGUAUAUACCAUAUCCCAGCUGCUGUGCACAUGAAUUAUACAGUGAAAGCUCCCUUGCACAAUGAAACUUUAUUAGCACAAUAGCCCUUGUGUUCAUAGACUUUAUCAGAAUUCUGCAUUCAUGCUGCCAUGGUGAUCAAAUCGGUUGAUGUUCAGCUUCCGUUUACAUGCUGCCAAGAAAGUUUAUUUUUUGUUUGUGUGUGGAAGUAUGUGACAAAGGACAGUUACUUUUUAUAUCACAUUCUGAGGUCUCAUAGUUUAGUUGCAGUGCUUAUGUGCAGUGCUGAGAUACACAUUAGCCUGCACCAAUUACAAUAUUCCCUUGUUUAAAUCUUAAUUGUUAUUUUCUUGAUGUCUCCUCUGCAAUUCCGUGCAUCCCAUAGGCAUUACUUGUCUGAGGUUGAACAUUAAAUGGUGGACAUUUGCUAAUCAUCCUUCAGAAUUAAGAUAAAACAUGUUAAUCCCCUUCUGCUGGUCAGAUGAUGGCAUUAUACAGGAGCUUGUAGGCAUGGGAACUUGUUUUAGUUUUUUUAUUGGUCUAUUUUAAAUUUGUUAUGCAUGUUGUCUGUUGCGAUAAAAGUUCUUAGAGCAUAAGAAGAUGAGAAGUUUGUUUUUUUCUUAAAAAAGUGUGGUCAUGUCAAUCAUUCUCAUCAAAUAUAAUUUUUGCAGACCUUGUCACUGCUAGACCUGUGCGAGAAGGAAGGCAUCUGAGCUGUUGGGGAGGUGGUUGCCUUGAGCUUCUAGUAAAUAUUAAUCAUCCUUGUAUGUUUUGUGGAUGGUGGUUGGGCAAUGUUGUUUGUUUAAGCGCAAGCUGCUGCUGGUUUCAUUUUCCCUACCUGCAAGGAAGGAAGGAGAAGACCUGGUACUUGGAAGGCCCCUCGAAAAAAGCAAGCUGUGAGGCUGUCUGUGUACUGCGUUGCGUUGUGUCGUCCUGAACCGAAUCAAUCCUGGGUUGGAGAUGUGUAUGUUUUGCUGUCUAUCUAUCUACGUGUGGUAGCAGAGUUGAGUAUACCUGGGCAGAAUGGGACCCCGAAAGAUGGGGCCCUGUAUACUGUGUAAUGGGUUACGAUGCAUGCAUCAUGGCGCCCCAAAGUAAGGGCCGAUGAUGUCGUCGUUCUGAGUUUGUGUUUUGUGGUGUUGUACCUUGAACCUCCUUUGCAUUUGACUUGAUGCUACCUUUUGCACUGUCUGAGAGUGUUGGCUUCUGGUUCACGUUAUGCUGUGAUGUACCAUGGUUGAUUCAGUUUGGGUGUUGUGAAGGCUAAAAACUAAAAGGUGGCUUGUGGAACAUUGUGUCCAGCAGCAGGUUAUGGGUUGCAGGUGCACCUACCAAACUUGGUGUGUGAAACAAAACAAGAGCAACUGAUAAGGUGGUUGAUUGCAUCGGUUCAACUGCUCUCGGUCAGACAGGAAGGAGCAGCAGCUCUUUGUUGGUGCGCUGUCUCCAUGUGUUUUUCAGCACUCACUGAUUCCUGAACUGAAUGCAGUUCUCGUCGGAGGGUACCAUGUCAGCACUCCAAAAAGCUCAGGAAUCCCAGUCGUAAACCGUUGAACAAUCGACGUUUCAGCUUUGGCGGCGACAAGAGAUUGGAUUGAUUGCCUCGUCUGCUGUUAAUUGAAACAGGGCAGCUUAACACGUAAGGUAAAGCAGUCUGCUGCAGUGCAGAGGACGAACGCGACGUGCAACCCGUGCGCCUGCUGUACCUGCUCUGCAGAUACAUGCAUUAGACUAGAAAGAUACAUGCUCUGCAGAGUGAGUAUUAUGCCUCUUGUUCCAUUCUCAUCUCACUGGACAGAAAUCGCCAGUAACCAUUCCUUUUGAGGUUUCAGUUUGAUCCCAGCUCAUUCUGAAUGUGCAGCAGCAGACCAGCGGCAGCACAAGUAGGAGCAGGGGAGGGAAGGGGAGUGUAUGAGUACUUGUACUUGGGGUUGAAUAAGCCAAGUGCACGAAACCUCAGCUAUUGCAAUUAGAUAUAAUCAUCAGAUAGAAGUAAAAAAAAAAAGGCGGUCAGAAUCAACAUUAUAAAGUCAGGGGCUGAAACUGCAACGCACAUCGGUAUCGGUACAGAACAAGAAGGCUGCCCUCAACGAAACACAUCUUCGAGGCCAGGAGCAGGCAGCAGCUCAUCUGAUUUCCGAAUCUCACGAUGGUGGCUGGAUCUCGAUGUUGUCAAUCAACCUCACCUUCCCAAACCAUGCGGCGACACAAAUCACAGCAGGGCGAUCGAUCCUCUCAACAGGCGUCAAGCUCUCUUGCUCCACAAUCUGCGUUCACAACAGCGAUCCAUUUCAUGUUAGACUAACUUUCCCAACUUGCGGGUCACUUACCAUAUACAAAACGUCUCCUGAGAUGUCAUCACGCUAUUAUCAAAGCCGUCUAAUCGAAACCAAACAUUCAGUCUUCCCACAAGUCAGGUUUAAUAACAAAAGGUUUAAUUAUAUAAAAAAGGUUUUCUGAACUGUUUCAUGAUACAAAGCAUAAAUGCCUAAAGCUUUCAAAGGCUCUCGAGGAAAAUACCAGAAUAAGAUACCACAAAACAAUAACCACUUUCGCUAAAUAAAAACAAUAACCACAAUGACGACGACGACCAUGAUGGGAUUGCAGAGAACUCAACCGCCAGAUAAAAGGUCUAAAAACACAGAUAACUUGAACAGCUGAGCAAAAGCCAAGAACAUUACCUCAACAUAGUCAACCUGACCGCCAGCUUCUUCAAGUGUCUGCACUAUUUGAUCUUUUAUUUGUUGGCCAUGACUGUUUCCAUUCAGCGCAGCGGUUCUAGCAUUCACCAGUGAUCUACUGAUGGAUAAUGCCUACAUAGGAGAUCAUCACAAUCGAAGGAAGGUUUAUUUUGAGAAAGGUGCAAAGAUAUUUACAAAGAGUAUAUGCAAUGAUCAACAAUUGAAAAUAAUGCUUUCUUCUAGGAUUUUUACAUGUAGCUCCCCUCCAUAGCUAUAAAUAAAUUUGUUAUAUCUCGCCUAUCGAGUCAUAAGAACCACCUAAAGAUUAUUGUGCCAACAAACUGAUAACAGCUCAAACCGAAAGAGGAGCAACAUGGAAAACAGCGGUGAAAGUAACUCCUGCUGCAAGGUCGAAAUUUUAGUUAUAUUCAAAUUUUCACCUAGAGCCAGUUCAACAACUGCAGAGGAAAGUUGGUGCAUUUCGCACAAGGCUUGUGUCGAAAAGUUGUGAUGUGAGGCCAAACUAGAUAAAGCAUUGAACAAAUUGAACCACGAAUUUGUUGAACAAACUGGCCCAACAGGUUGAUCCAGGAGGGGAAGGAUACACUGGACAGCAAGACAAACCUAAUUCUAAAACACUGUAAUUUCUAUGGUUCUCUGUAUUUUGGCGAUAGCAAUACCACAAAUUGUCAAAAAAAAUCACUACAAAAACAAUCUACCAGCUUUUUUCAGAAAAAGACAAACCUUUUCCCUUUCCUCACACGAUAGGUGCACAUUGCGGGAGCUCAUGGCAAGACCAUCAGCUUCUCGCACUAUUUCUGAGCCAAUAAUCUCAAUGGCAAAAUCAAGAUCAUGAACCUGAAAACAACAAAGCUUUAUCUCAGCAACAGAAACUAACUAGAGUUACACUGAGAUAAACAGAUAAGAGAUGACACACAUUAUGUGGGGAUGCAACUGAAGAGAACCAUCAAAACAGAAAGCAAACAAGUUAACCACUGAAGCAUUAUUUGAUUCAAAAUGGACAUUUGGAUGGAGCAAAAUGUAGUCUCUAAAUAGUCACCAUGUGAUAAGCUAUUUAUAGACUAUCUAGAAGCAAGUUGGUCAAGUUGGUGAAUAGGGCAGUGAAGAGAAGAAAAAAGAACUACUAUUCUGCUAGGUAGUUACCAUCAUUCGAUGGCCAACUUUGCGCUUACUCAUCAAUGUUGUUUUAUUCUAUUCAUAUAACUACUUGAAUUGCCGAACCUGACAGACAGCAAUUAUAAAAGAAACAAAGUAGUAUGUUAAUGCCAAACAAGUUAUUGUUCUAAAAAAGUUACCAUCCGGCAGAGGAAGGAAGGUGGAAAUAAACAGGAGCAAAAAACAUUAUUUUAGAUUUGUUACCAUUACUGUAUCUGGAUGGCCUACUCCUUUUUUUUGGAACUAAAACAAACUGGAUGGCCUACUUUGUUCUCACAUAGCAAGACUGUAUUUUCAGCACUUGAACAGUUGGACCUGACAGACGCCAACCAAAACUGAACAAAGUGCAUGCAUGUGUCAGUGUCAAUGUCAAAGAAGUUACCAUCCGGCAGAUGACGCGCCACUGUUGAUAAUCCUUCUUCCCGAACACCGCGAUGUCCGGCUCGACGAUGUUGAAGAGCUUGGCGACGACGGUAGCCACGCCGCGGAAGAAGACGGGCCUGCUGCUCCCGCACAGCCCCUUCUCCAGCCGCUCCACGCGAAUCCACGUCUCGUGCCCGUACCCAUCGCCCUGCUCCAGGCAGGAGAUCGCGCCCCCGGACUCGCUGGCAUCGGGGCGGCCGCCGCGGACGUAGAGGUCCGGGGGGCAGAAAACCGCGGCAACGGCGCCAGUGGCGGCGAGCUUGCGGAGGUCCCCGGCGAAGUCGGAGGGGUAGGUGGCGAGGUCCUCGGUGGGGGCGAACUGGCUGGGAUUGACGUAGAUGGAGACGACGACGGCGACGGGGCCGGCGGCGGCCGCCACCGCUGCGGAGACGAGCGAGAGGUGGCCGUCGUGGAGGAAGCCCAUGGUGGGGACGAGAGCGACGACCUUGCCCUCCGCGCGACGGCGGCGUGACCACGCGCGCAUCGCCGCCUUGUCACGGAUCACCUCCGGCUCAUGCGCCGCCGCCGGCAUGGGAGCAAAAUGGAAUCGCACGGCAGACUGAUGAGGAGGAGGAAAAGAAAAAAGAAAGAAAUUUGUUGACAAUAAGUGAGAAUGGGAUGCGGCAGCAGAUAAGUUGUGGGGAGGAAACGGAAUCGAGGACGGCCAGAGAGUGGGAGGGGAAAGAAGGAAUUUUCUUUCUGCCUGUUGCAAUUCAAAAACAAUGCAGCAAGUAGCAGCCAGGGUAGACUCUUUCUGGACAUGAUAACGACAUCUACCCGCCAUCGAUCGUUGGAUAAUAUCAAUAAAAACAUUUUUUUUCUUUCCAGCUAGCACAAUGGAAUUGUAGAUGCAGGAUUACAAUCGUUUUUCAAGCUAUCUCGAAAGAAAGCAGGUGCUAACAUGCCACGCUGCUCUCCGCUCGUAAGAUGCUUGCUUAUACUUCCUCCGUUCCAAAUUGCAGGUCAUUUUAGCGUUGAUAUGUAUAGAUGGAAAAACCAAAAUGAUCUACAAUUUGGAACGGAGGGAGAAGCAUAUUAGCUGAGACAUUAUUAGAGGUGCGCAAGGGAAAAUUAAUUUCCUGCGGAGCUCCUUGGUAUCCAAAAGUAAUUUCCACCGGGUUCUUCCAUGUAUCCACAAUGAGUUGGCAGCGAGUUUCAACAAUAUAUACAGACCGUGGAUCACACCACUGGCAUGUUGUGGUCUCUAUGCCUGGUAAAUAGUUGGAUCAGACUGGAGAGUCGGUUCCCAGAAUCCCACGCAUGAUGAACCCUUCAUCUGAGGAACAACCGUGUCAUUCAGCAUCUCAUAUAUUUCAGCACAUUGUGGAUGCUCUUGAUCCCUAGAGUAGAACACAUGAUUCCUCAUGUUCGCCUCAAUCUGACUAAAACCAGGCGCCUUCUUCGACUUACUGCCCUUCAUGAUCUUCCACACAUUUGCUGUCUCAUCCCACAUUCCAUGUGACGCAAAUACAUUGGCCAGAAGCGUGUAGCGUCCUGAAUCAGAGGGUUCGAAUCUGACAAGAUCCUCACCCACUUCUCUUGCUACCUCUACCUCUUUAUGCGUCACACAGGCUCCUAGUAGCGUCCCAAGAAUGGCUUCAUCACGCAUGCCCUGUGGCAUACUGUCGACAAGUUCCUUGGCCUCCCUAACAUACCCUGCUCGACCUAGAAGGUCAACAAGGCAAGAGUAGUGCUCAAUGCUUGGCUCUAUUCCGUAGCCAUGGUAAAUUGAUUUGAAAAUCUUGCGGCCUUUCUCGACCAAGCCAACAUGGCUACAAGCUGACAGAAUGGAUGUAAAGGUAGUUGAACUGGGCUUAUACCCAUGCCUCAACAUCUGAGCAAAGCCCUGUAAGGCAUGGUAACCACAGCCAUGGUUCGCAAAAGCUUGCAUUAUCGACGUCCAUGUUAUGGUAUCCUUCACUUCCAAUCUCUUAAAAGUGAGCUGAGCAGAAAGCAGAUCUCCACUUCUUGAGUACAUUGUGAGCAAGGCAUUUCCUAAAUCAGUUUCUGACAGGAGUCCAAGUGUGACAACCAAGCCAUGGAUUUGCUUAACUUCCAUUGUGCUCUCAAGCAUAACUAGGAUACUAAUUAAUGUACAGAUGUUAGGAGAUACCGCUGAGCGUCGCAUAAGAAGAAAUAUGUUUACGGCUUCAUCCUUACGCUUGGUCUUGGAAUACGCCUCGAUAAUGGUAUUCCAGGUCACCAGGUCUUUUGCAAGCAUCGAAUCGAAUAAUCUCUGGGCCUCAUUCAGCUGGUCAUUGUUGGCAUAAGCAGUAAUCAUCGCAUUCCAUGCCGCAGUAUCCUUUUUUGGCAUCAUAUCAAAGAACUCUCUUGCCCUGCACGCAAAACCAUUCUUUGCCAAGCCAGUGACCAUUAUAGUCCAAGAAAUCACAUUCCUGUGCGGCAUUGUCUCAAACAAUUGAACUGCUUCAUCCACUUUUCCAGCGCUGAGAAAACCGGAAAUCAUGGCAUUCCAAGAAUAUGUGUUCCUCUUGGGCAUCCUAUCGAACAGUUCCCAUGCCUCUUGAAUCUGACCACUGUCAGCGUAGGCCUUAACCAUGACUGUCCAAGCGACCACAUUCCUCUCAGGCAUUCGAUCAAACACCUCCCUGGCUUCCUUGAGCAUCCCAUUGCUUGCGUACCCCUGCACCAUCGCCGUCCACGAAACAACAUUUGGAUCAGGCAUCACAUCAAACAACUGGCGCGCUUCGUGAACACGGCCGGUGCGGCAGUACCCAUAGACCAUGCAGGUCCACGCGACGACGUUCUUCAUCGGCAUUCCGUCGAAUAGCUCGCGCGCGCGGUCGACACGCCCAGCCUUGAUGUACCCGUCGAGCAUAACGGUAUCCAGGUAAAGCCCCCGAGCAGCCGCGGGCGCCGCGCGGAAGAGCGCCUCCGCGCCCAGCAGGUCACGUUGCUGGAGGUGGCGGCUGAUGUUGGCGGCGUAGGAGACGGCAUCCUCCCGGUUUGGCGUUUCGGCGCGAGUGGCCGCGCCGCCGCGCUGCUGCUUGGGUGCGGCGGGGUUUUCGCUGGCCGAACGGAUGCCUUCUCGGGUGGGUUGCCGCGGCGGGUCAUGGGCCUCCGCAACGGUGCCAUGGAGGCGGAUGAGCGAGCACUGGAAGGGCAGCUCGAACGGGGCGCGGCCAGCGGUGAUGCCGCGCCGCCGCGCGAGGGCGAGCGAGUCGCCGCUGCUAGUACGGAUGUCUCCAUGGGCGCUUCGUCGUGGAGGCGUGCGGAACUUAGCGACGGUGCCGUGCCGGUGGAGCGGCGAGCAUUGGGAGAGGAGAGGGAGGACGCGCCGGCGCCGGCAACGGGGAAGCAUUGGGAGUUGGCGGGGAAUUUUGCAACUAGGUCCUCGGUUAGUAACCUAGCUGGUUCAGAACGAGGGGGCCAGCAUGGGUCAGCGUAUAUUAUGCGAAAAGGUCCAUACUAAAGUUUUUUUCGUUCAAGUAUACCCCCAACUGGAUCGCCAUUAUUAAUCGCGAUCCAAUUUUGGAUGACUGCGAACCGCCGGAUCAAUUAUACGCGGCUCAGAACGGCUUCUGGUAUAAUAGCAGCGGCCAUUUGUCGAAAUAGGCCUUAGUGUUUAAGAAUACCUUCAAACACUCCUGGUGGAUUUGAACCGUCCGAUCGACACUCCAGGGCCCAGAUCGAGGGGUGUAAUUUUACGGAAACGACCCUUCAUUGACAUGGCCGGUCAAAUGGGAUGCGAACCGGCGGCGGCGGCCGCCGCGCACGGCGACGUGGUGCCGCCGCCGCUGCUUCCGGCUUGCCCCCGAAAGAUCACUGCACGGCAAGGAGGAGCGAUUCCGGCGAGGAAGGUCGCGGUCCUCGAAGCGUGGAGGACUACCAUGGUGGCGCCGGAGGUCGUCGUCGGCAGAAUUUCAAAUGCAGAACCCAGACAGGACACUGAAAUGAAAAUUUCUUCCUUAUUCAUUAAGAAAAACUCAUGAACGAUCCAUAGAGUAGCGAUCCAACGAACCCAUUCCCACCUUAAUUACGCAAGCAAAAUCCGGCAUGCAUACUCUCAAUACAUACACCGAACUGAAGAAAAGAAACUUCUUUCGGCGGAGAAAGCAAAGCAGGGCACAGCAGAGCAAGACUGCAGGAGCAAAGCAAGGCAUGAAGCAAGGUGAUGAGCAGCUUGGCGGCGGCGCCUAUACAAAGGCGUGCUUCUCGAGCAGCUUGAGGACGUCCUCCUGGUUGUUGAGCUUGGCCACGUCGAUGGGCGUCUUCCCGUCCAGGUUCUGCAGCGUCCUGCAAAAGGCACAAGAUCAUGCAUGAGCAAUCGAGCUUCAGAAUGAGGAAUUUCCGUUUCAGCUCGGUCAUCAGUUUGGUAUCGAUCAUCAUCAAUCAGGUGGACGGUCCCUUACACGGCGGCGCCGCUCUCGAGCAGGAGGGCGACGCAGUCCUUGCGGCCGUAGCCGGCGGCGUAGUGCAGCGCGGUGUUAUUGUUCUUGUCCACCGCGUCCACCGCCGCGCCGGCGUCCAGGAGCACCUGCGCGCACUUGAGCUCGCCGUACCCGCACGCGAAGUGCAGGCCUCUACGGCCUUCCGAGUCCUCCUCGUCUUUGUCCACGCCAUCCUCCAGCGCCUUCUUCAGGCCCUGUCACCGUGACGACCAUGCAUACAGGUAUGUUCAGCAAUGAUCAUAGAGCCAGCCAACUGAUGAUGAUCCAGAGCGCGCUGCACUGCAGUGACAGUAAGGUGGCAGACUGACCUCGACGUCGCCGACGCUCGCAGUGUGGUGGAUGAUGGACGACUCCUCGUACUCGCCUUCCUCCUCGCCGGCCUCUUCCUCGGCCUCGUCGUGCUCCGCGCCGGCGGCCUCGCUCGAUGGGCCGACACCCAUCGCCCGCCCGAACUUCUGCAGAGCCUCGGGGUCGUUCCAGUACCUGCACAAACCAUGCAAGACACUCCAGCAGGCUCAGAGAUCAUUCAAUUCGUCGGUUUGCGCAAUCCUUCCUUGAUGAAUGAACUUGACGACUCACUUCAUCAUGGCAGCGGGGCCGCCGGUCUCGAUCUCGUCGAGGAUGGGCUUGAGCGUGGGGUCCUCCUUCAUGCGCGCGAUGCGAGCCUCGAGCUGCUCCUUGUGCGCCGGGUUGGUGAGCCCGCCCAGCAUCGUCGCCAUGGCCGGGUCCUGCAUCAGCGCGCUGCCCAGCCGCUCCGCCAUCGCCACGAACUGCGGGUUCUGCAUCAGCUGCUGCAUCGUCGCCACGUACUUCUGCGGGUCCAGCGCCGCCGCCGCCUGGGGCACCGCCUGCUUCGCCGCCGGCGCCUGCCGCGGGGACACCACCGUCUUCUGCAGCUGCUCCGCCAUCUGCGUGAACGCCGGGUCCUUGGCGAUCUGCUCCGCCAUCUCCUUGAUGCUCGGGUCCUGCUCGGUCCAUCCAUUCGUUCAUUUAAUUCCAACAAGAAAUAUCAAAUACUACAUCCAAACCGUAUCGAUUUCCAAAUAAGUGAAAUGAAAUGGCAUGAAAAUUUUGGGUUACCAAAAUCGAACCACGAAAAGCUAGCACUUUUUCACGCAAGGGAUCCGAGACUAAAAACGGCACGGUCUUCACAUGGUACAUGUACUACUGCCGACGGAGAUUAAGGCUGUUCAGCUCAAUUGAGUUUGUGAAUGAAUGAAUGCACCGGAUGAACAGCGUCAUGAACCCGGUCCAUCAUCUUUGCUAAUCUCUACUGAGCUUCACAUAUAAGAACUACUUCUAUGUUGCAAAAAAGGAAGGUGAUGCCUCAGCUGCGUACAUUAAGGAGGUUCAUCAUGGUGGAGAAGUCGAAGGGGUUGGCCGGCGCCGACGGCCCGGCCCUGCGCGUCGCCCCUGCUGCUGGCUGCUGCUCCUCCGCCGGCGAAGGCUCCUCUGUCUUGACCGUAGCAGUCUUCUCCUCUGCACAAACAACUCCAGUUAAAUUAUCUCUUCUCCAGCUCUUCAACUCCUUGGCGCAAAUCGCUCACGCAACAAAAGAAAAGAAAAGAAAAGGGAGAGAGAUUCCUGACUGACCUUGAGCAGCCAUGUCGACGGCGGCCGGGAAGGAAGCAGGCGCUGGCGCUGUUGCCCCUUGUUAGCGAUGAACCAGCCGAGGAUGACGAUAAGGUGCUGCUGUGGAGAGGAGGAAACGCGAGGGCGACCAACCAGAGGUGUCCACCGUGUGGUUUCGUUUUUAUAGGGGAAGGGUGCAUAAGCGCUUGAGACCUUGAGUGACUGCGGUUUCUACACAUGGAUGGAUGGAGAUGGAGCAAGUAGCAUCUCCUUCGACACAGCAAGGGCAAGGUAGAUCUUCCUAGCAAUUGCUCAGUUUUUUUCAAGGUAAAAAAAAACGCCGAUCUUUCUGAAUUCUUAAUCUACGUCUAGUUUUUUUUUUUAAGUUGUCAAGAAAAGGCACGUUGCUUUUUUAAGGUCACAUGGCAACCACGUAUAGAAUUUCAAAGCUGAAGUAUGAAAUACUUUCAAUUCCCGUGAUUAUCAUUUGCUUUCAAUUUUCUACGGAUAUCACGGUGAAAUGAGACCUUUUCUUUUCUCUAUAAUAAAGUCGUGCGUUGUGUAUUAGGGGGAAAAUAAAUGAAAACUUAUCUGUGAAAGGAAAAGAUAACCAAAUCAGCAUGAAUGAUAUUUUACCACUGAAUUUUUUUCGAAAGAUUACCACUGAUUUUCCCUAAAUAAAAAAGAAGUGAAUUUACCGUGUGAGUUGGGUCUUGGGUGAGCCUUUAGCAUCUACAGGGGACAGUGCGUGGGCCAGGAGAUUGAGGUGCCAAGCUUCUUGCGUGGCAUUGGGAAUCCAGGACAGGGAUUGGGAUAGCAAAUGUGUGGAUGGAAUUGCUUCUCCAGGAAACACCCUACUAUUGCGACAAAAUCCAUGAUGUUGUAUCUCUUCUACUAAUAUUUGCCACCUGUCACCAUUAUUGGACAGUACUCAUUCUAAUUCUACCACUCAUAAUGUUAUGAUUUUCACUGACUAUGUUUUCUUUCCCCUUUCUGAGAGUAUACAAGUGCGCAUUAUUACUAGCCUUCACUACAUUGAUAGAAUUAGUGCGGCAAAAGAUAGGUGACAUGCCAAAUCUGGGAACACCCCCCUCCCUCUGGCAUGAUCCAAAUAUGAAAGAACCCCCAGCGAUAAAAAGAGCGGGGUCAGAACGCCAGGUGCCAGAAUACUGUUACUAUAGUAAUACAGAAUACAAAAUAUAGCCGGAGGCACCUUCGUAUGCAUUAGUGUUUUUUUUACCACCCAACAAGGUAAAACCACGGCAAAAAUGCAGUGACAGAUGAGGGCAAAACAUGCAGCUGAAGCGUCUUCAGAUGCUUGCCACUCUGGCAGUGGCACAUUGGAGAACCCAACAGCCUAGCAGUCCCAGUCGCAGCAGCUCAAAAGGCGGAAAUGCUUCAACCAGCAGGAUCAAAACUUCCAACUGUGGGGCUCUUCAGCUGCAUGUGUCUGCCACACCGGAACCCAAGGGCCUAGCAGGGCCAGCAAAACUAGCUCAAAGUGGGCUGAUUUUGCUGUUUCUUCAACAGAUCCUCUACUUCUCUUUGACCAAGAUCAGUACAAACUCCUCCUUUAGGGAAACAAAUUUCCCAGGUCUUUCUGGAACAUUACUAUAUCACUGCAAAAGCCAUUUCUAGGCAGCAAAAUCAGCCCAGAACGUGAUGGCACUUUCAUGAAUAUUUGUGGAUUCCAAUAUUAAGGUCCGAUGAUAUGGAGGUCAGGUAUGGUGAUGUUUGGUGCCAAACAGCCUUGAACACUCGCUUCUGGUGUGCCUGAACAGACUGGCACGGCUUCUGGCCAUGAUACCUGAUGUCGAAAAUGUGGAUCACAGGGUCUGCAGAGCCAGAUGACACGUACCACCCAUCAGGAGACCAUGACUGGUUAAUCAGAGCUGACUGAGACUCGCUGCUCUCUUGCUUCCAACCGAAUGCAUGAACCUCAGUCUGCCUAAGCCUGAUGUCAAACAAGCGGAGCUGACUGCCUGGCGCCCUGUUAGCAAGAGAAAACAUACAGAUUGUUUUAAGCAUGCACCCCCAUGCAUUAAACGAGCACAACUGACAACCAUUGCACAAUGCACAUAGGACCCCACAUAAUAACUAUGUAUGUAAACUAAAAUGGAUUUUUCUUCAUAAAACUAGAGCUUCAGCAGUACAUUGACCUCCUAUGUUAUAAUGCAAGAAUAGGUUGAGAUGACUAAGAGGUUAAAGAUUACAACUAUGAAAUGGAUGCGUUAAUCCAGAAACAGCAUUCUUGGUCUGUUUGGAACUAUCGCAAUCACUGUGUGUUCAAUGGGGAUCCACCUAACCUGAAUGGAGUUCUAACUGUGCUAAGAGAAGAACUGCACUUGUGGAGUUUGGCUGGGGCUCAAGGAAUUUCUCAUCUCCUCGCCCUAGUACCCUUGCAAGUUUAGCUGGUGUUUCUGGUCUAGGUCUGGUCAUGGCUAUUUAGUUAAAAGGUGAUUGUUUCUGUGUGAGUUUUUUUUUUGGGAGUUCUGUACAGGGCCCCUAAACCUAUAUGUUACUUGGGGUUUCUAAACCCCUUUUUCUUCUUAACAUAUUGAUCCGCAGCUCCUCUCUUGCGUGUUCGAGAAAAAAAAUACUUACCCUGUCUGCACCAUGUAUAAGUUGAAAUCGCAUGGAUUUGUUAAUACACUCAUGCAUUUGCUAUCAAUUAGGUUCUUGAACUCUGUCCUUCCAGCAGAGAGAUCAAAUCCUAUUAUCCUCUUGUCGCAGCCAACUGAUAUUAUAGUUUUUUUCUGUUGCAAUCCAGCAACACCCAUGACAGCGGAAGAAUGGAAAUCCUUGUGCACUCUCUUGUGUUUCCAUGAAUCAUCUUUGUCUUCCCAAAGUAUAACAGCGUGAUCACUUCCCCCGGUCACAAAGCAUGCAUCAGACCAGGGCAUGAAACUGAUGUUGUUUAUGAUUCCCUUCGUGUGAGGCUUCUCUGGUAGGAAAGUAACCUUCCUCUGUUUCAGUACAGGGAAAAAAUUGUGGAACGCCCUUUAGUAAUAUUUCAAGAAAGUAAAUCAUCUGUUACUCACAAAAAUAAGGCAUAGAAAAGUAAACCUAGGGUUAACAGAACCAAUUCUUUCAAGGUUACAUCACCGUAACAACAAAUCACAUUAAGGCAUUGAUGCCUACAAGUGAAAACAGGAGAAUAGCAUGAAAAUAGUCAUUUAAGAACAGCUAAGUUACGAUUCGUUAAUUAAAGGUACACCACAUCAGCAUCCAAUCAUUUUUCCCAUCACACUUGAUAGAACAAAAAGAAAGAAAAAAUUCAGUCUCCUAACUAUAAUUUGCAGGGAUUAAGUAAAUGCACGAACAGGAAUAAUUAAAAGAACCAUCUCUCAAAUUCCUCCCUUUAACAAUAUUAUUUAAAAAUACUAAUGAUUUGAAAUCAGAUAUGCAGAAUUUGUUAUUAGUCUCAUUUUAACAACUGCUCCUAGAAUAGAGAAAGCUGUGUAGCAGGAUGUAAGGGCAUGCACCAGUUUUAACAGAGGCCUUACCUGUCCUGAUAUAAGGUUUGUCAUUGAAACCUGAGAAUCACCAUUAUCAGCAGUGUAUACAGCAAAAAUUGUGUCACCAUCUGGAUGCCAAGCUAUAUCUUCAGGCCAUCUAUGCUUUGGGGAAAAGCAAUCUGUUUUGCCACGAAAUGAGAUAGAAGGUCUGCGAGUACAAUAACGUAAAUUGUCAUGGUGCGAAAUUGAAAUGAUACGGUGAUACCCACCCAACAAAAUUUACCUUUUCAAUAAAGCAAACAGUCUUUGCAUCAGGGUGGUUCCCCAACCAUUUCAAGUUAAAGUGUACAAUGUACUCAAACAAUAGGUGGAUCUAUCACAGAGAACUAUAUUCUCCUUAGUCCUUAUAGUUACCUGCACUACUGGUAUAUAAAUUUAGCAUUGACAUUUUUACAUCACAUGUGAUGGGAUUGUAGCAUUUUUUCCUUCAAAAAGUACUGAUAUGGAACAUGGAUAUACCAUAUACAUAAAGAAAAAAUCAUACACUUCCAGCAUGUUGUAUCUUUACUCAAAUUUUAUCCAUUUUAGCCUGCCUCCUCAUGAGUACAUGGCUCCUUUAAACAGCCACGCAACUGGAUAUGCCAAUACAAAUCACUAAGAAACCAACUAACCUAGCAGAUAAGAUCACACUAUUGCUGCCUUGCUUGGAUGGAGCAGCCAUGCCGCUUGGCUGACAUGUUAAUCCUAGCCUGUCCGGUGACAGUUAAAUAUUUUACGAGAUUCAGAAGGCUAAGGUCAUUUCAUGUUAAAAUAGUAUAUCAGCCGUCACGCCCAUACCAAGUUCACUUUAAUUAAAACAAUAAGCUAAAAUUUUGCUGCCGCAUGUUGAAGGAGAGUUGUUGGGUGUUUGACCAUAGUGGUGUUACCCAUGGCACAUGUACUGUGUUGGCACAUCCUUUUUGGCCACUAACUGUGUUGAACUUUCAGUUUUGUCCCAGAGCAUUACAACAUUUUGGUUAUCUGAACCUGGGCUGCUGAAUUUAAUAUGUAAGUGUUGAGGAGAUGCAAGAAGUGAAACAAGAGACAAACAGUAUCAGGGAGCAAAUUAAAUUGCCUUUUCUGCUAAUGAAUGUUGCAAGGUAGACAUGCGCUAAGGUGGGCACUUAAGUCUUAACUGCAAAAAUCCACACUUGAGCUUCAUAAACGAAAUACUUAAAUCCACGUAAUUAAUUAUUGAUAUCAACCUCGUGUAUGCAUUUAUUAUCUACUUAGUGUCUUCGAGAACCCUAAGGCUCCUGUUGGCACAAUUCUACUAACCUAAUGCAAAACCCUCAUUAAGUACUGCUGAGUCAGUCAUUAAGACUUAUAUAAAGUACGGAUUUAAUUUUUGGCAAAGCCAUAAGUUUCAAUUCAUCAUCAAGUAACUAUAACCACUUAUGCUGAGCUCAUUGGAAGUGUCAUUGGGCACACACUUUACCCAGUUCAUAUUUCACUACCAUUUUAAAAAACUAGUGAAAUAUCUCUGAAAUAUGUUUGAAAGCUAAGUUAAAAAAAAGUUAGCAGGGAUGAAAAGAAAACAGCAUGCUGACAAUUCAGAGUGACAUUAUGCCUACCCUCUUGGCUCCACCUGCCACAAAGUAACCAAUCCAUCCAACGCACUGCAUCACAAGAAACCAUAAGAUUAAAAGUUUGGAAAACUUAAGCAAACUUCUCAUAUCAUUGGUAAUUAAAAUUAAUUAUUUCAUUUUGCUAAGAUGUCUAUCGGAACGGUGGUUGAGAACUUAGUCUGCCCUCCCAGUUUACAAUUCUAAACCAGCAAACCUAUAGUGCUGCCCACAAAAAAAAAAUGUUUCACAAAGAAGUACAGGCGUCCAACUUGGAACUUUGGAAGAAGAUUGCUUUGUGAGCCUGUGCUUGUAGACUGACAUUACAUAACUUUUUUUUUCGUGAAUUGUUGCAGGCAACCAGGUCGAAGCAAUUAAAAAUUAUGGAGGUGGAGAAAUGAUGCCAAAGAUGCCAAAGGUGACACUAAUAGUUUUUUUGAGCUUCUCAUUGCAUGAUCAUCCGUGAACUAUAGCCUACACCAAAUUCGCU